GAAAUGCGAUAAGUAAUGUGAAUUGCAGAAUUCCGUGAAUCAUCGAAUCUUUGAACGCACAUUGCGCCCUCUGGUAUUCCGGGGGGCAUGCCUGUCCGAGCGUCAUUUCGAACCCCUCAAGCACGGCUUGUGUGAUGGGCCCUCCCGCGUCUUGGUCGUCAAGACGGGCCCGAAAUGCAGUGGCGGCUUCGCGGUUAUCCGAUCAGCCAGAGCGUAUGGGGACUUUCUCUCUGUCACACGCCCGCGGCGCGGACCGACGCCUGUCGACCUUCAUUCAUCGUUUUCUCGGUUGACCUCGGAUCAGGUAGGGAUACCCGCUGAACUUAAGC
rnacentral:misc_RNA from 1 species